rnacentral:lncRNA from 1 species
AUGACCAGGGCUGCUUCUUCCUGGGGUGGCCAAUCCCAGGUCCGACUUGUGCCGUCUCUGGAGGCACUGUCGGAAGAUCUGCGAGGGAGCGGGCCCGAAUCCGCCGCCCGUUACGGCCGAGGCCACGGGGACGUCUUCGCGGGACAAAAGGUGCCCUCGCGCCCUCCAAAGAUAAGAGGACUUGUCGGUGCCGGGUUUGGUGAUGAACAGACGCCCUAUUUCAAUUGGAGGCGCAUCCAGCUGGAAAAGCGUGUGCUACAUGUCCCCGCUUCCGCUGGCAGGCAGCGACCGACCGAGGCCAAAGUGGCAGCCAUUGUGGCCAAGGAGGAGUGGAAAACGAAUGUCCCCUCUCUCCCGGAUGUGCUCCAGGCGUGGGUCUCCCCUUUAAAGGCAGCCAUUGAGGACGACAAAGGUGUCCUCAAGUCAGUGGUGGAGCAAAGGUGGAAGGUGAUCGAUUUUAAGGAUUUCAGAGAACACAAGGGUAGAGGCGUCAUUGCCACCAUGCCGUUCUCCAAAGGUGAAGUGAUCUGCGACUGUCACGGAAAGCUCAUCUCUGAAUCGGAGGGGAAGAAGAUGAUGGAUGAAAUGCAGGAGGGAGUGAUGUGCUACCUCUUCUUCGUCAGGGGCAGGCUAGGCACCAAGCUGUGCAUCGAUUCCCAGAACUUCCCCUGCGAGUGCCGCCCUGGAUAGGACACCUUUGGAAGGCGCAUGAACGACUCGGGCAAGGCGUCCAAUGUGAAGCCUGUGUUGAUCCAGUUGAACUUCGCAGACGGACCCCAAGACACUGUCCUGUUCUUGGCCCAGAGAAACAUAGCCGGCAACGAAGAGCUGCGUUGGGACUAUGGUGUGAGACGGAUGUCCUUCAGAGAUGAGGGCAUGGACCUGGCAUGGCUGGAUGACUGAAAUGAUUUGCGUUGGUUCAUUGUGUUCCCUCAUUUGUUGUUGCCGGUUGUUGCUGUUCUUGUUGUUGUUUAGCGUCAUGUUUUGAAUAAAUGUUUGUGCUUCAAAGGACA